AUGACCGCUGGCGGCGUGCCUAAUACAUGCAAGUCGAGCGAACAGAUAAGGAGCUUGCUCCUUUGACGUUAGCGGCGGACGGGUGAGUAGCACGUGGGUAACCUACCUAUAAGACUGGGACAACUUCGGGAAACCGGAGCUAAUACCGGAUAAUAUGUUGAACCGCAUGGUUCAAUAGUGAAAGAUGGUUUUGCUAUCACUUAUAGAUGGACCCGCGCCGUAUUAGCUAGUUGGUGAGGUAACGGCUCACCAAGGCAACGAUACGUAGC
rnacentral:rRNA from 1 species